UGCCUACGGGGCGCAGCAGUGGGGAAUAUUGCACAAUGGGGGAAACCCUGAUGCAGCAACGCCGCGUGAGUGAAGAAGGUUUUCGGAUUGUAAAGCUCUGUUAGCAGGGAAGAGGAAGGACGGUACCUGCAGAGGAAGCCACGGCUAACUACGUGCCAGCAGCCGCGGGAAUACGUAGGUGGCAAGCGUUGUCCGGAUUUACUGGGUGUAAAGGGAGCGUAGGCGGCCUGGCAAGCCUGAUGUGAAAUACCGGGGCCCAACCCCGGGGCUGCAUUGGGAAAUGCCAGGCUGGAGUGCCGGAGAGG
rnacentral:rRNA from 1 species